ncrna:unclassified sequences SAM-I/IV variant riboswitch
UCGAAACAUCAAGAGCAGUUUAAAAUCUGCACCAACCGAGCACGACAGCCACGGUGGUCAAGAUACGAUGUGGAAAUAAGUUUAAUUUCAAAAAUAAGUCUUUAUGA